rnacentral:rRNA from 1 species
UACAGAGGUCUCAACCGUUGUUCGGAUUCAUUGGGCGUAAAGGGUGCGUAGGCGGUCGCGUAAGUCAGGUGUGAAAUCCCGGGGCUCAACCCCGGAACUGCACUUGAUACUGCGUGGCCAGGGUACUGGAGAGGAGACUGGAAUUUACGGUGUAGCAGUGAAAUGCGUAGAUAUCGUAAGGAAGACCAGUGGCGAAGGCGAGUCUCUGGACAGUUACCGACGCUGAGGCACGAAGGCCAGGGGAGCAAACGGG